CCUACGGGUGGCAGCAGUGGGGGAUAUUGCACAAUGGGGGGAACCCUGAUGCAGCGACGCCGCGUGGGUGAAGAAGCGCCUCGGCGCGUAAAGCCCUGUCAGCAGGGAAGAAAAUGACGGUACCUGAAGAAGAAGCACCGGCUAACUACGUGCCAGCAGCCGCGGUAAUACUGAGGGGGCAAGCGUUAUCCGGAUUUACUGGGGGGAAAGGGGGCGCAGACGGCGGUGCAAGCCAGGAGUGAAAGCCCGGGGCCCAACCCCGGGACUGCUCUUGGAACUGCGUGGCUGGAGUGCAGGAGGGGCAGGCGGAAGUCCUGGUGUAGCGGUGAAAUGCGUAGAUAUCAGGAGGAACACCGGUGGCGAAGGCGGCCUGCUGGACUGCAACUGACGUUGAGGCCCGAAAGCGUGGGGAGCAAACAGGAUUAGAUACCCCUGUAGUC
rnacentral:rRNA from 1 species